GUGGGGAAUAUUGGACAAUGGGCGAAAGCCUGAUCCAGCCAUGCCGCGUGUGUGAAGAAGGUCUUCGGAUUGUAAAGCACUUUAAGUUGGGAGGAAGGGCAUUAACCUAAUACGUUAGUGUUUUGACGUUACCAACAGAAUAAGCACCGGCUAACUUCGUGCCAGCAGCCGCGGUAAUACGAAGGGUGCAAGCGUUAAUCGGAAUUACUGGGCGUAAAGCGCGCGUAGGUGGUUCAGCAAGUUGGAGGUGAAAUCCCCGGGCUCAACCUGGGAACUGCCUCCAAAACUACUGGGCUAGAGUACGGUAGAGGGUAGUGGAAUUUCCUGUGUAGCGGUGAAAUGCGUAGAUAUAGGAAGGAACACCAGUGGCGAAGGCGACUACCUGGACUGAUACUGACACUGAGGUGCGAAAGCGUGGGGAGCAAACAGGAUUAGAAACCCCUGUAGUCC
rnacentral:rRNA from 1 species